AUUGAACGCUGGCGGCAGGCCUAACACAUGCAAGUCGAGCGGAUGAUGGGAGCUUGCUCCUGGAUUCAGCAGCGGACGGGUGAGUAAUGCGUAGGAAUCUGCAUGGUAGUGGGGGAUAACGUCCGGAAACGGGUGCUAAUACCGAACACGUCCUGAGGGCGAAUGUGGGGGCACCUCGGCCUUCACGCUAUCAGAAGAGCCCAGGUCGGAUUAGCUAGUCGGCGGGGUAAUGGCCUACUAAGGCGACGACCCGUAACUGGUCUGAGAGGCUGAUCAGUCACACGGGAACUGAGACACGGUCCAGACUCCUACGGGGAGCAGCAGUGGGGAAUAUUAGACGAUGGGCGAAAGCCUGAUCCAGCCAUGCCGCGUGUAUGAAGAAGGUCUUCGGAUUGGAGAGCACUUUAAGUUGGGAGGAAGGACAGUAUGUUAAUAACUGGCUAUUUUGACGUUACCAACAGAAUAAGCACCGGCUAACUUCGUG
rnacentral:rRNA from 1 species